GCGCCAAGAAUGGCGGAUUUCCGAGGCUAAUUCUACACUACGAAUCUGGGGGUCAGAGGUUCGAAUCCUUUCGGGCGCGCCA
rnacentral:tRNA from 1 species